rnacentral:rRNA from 1 species
UACGUAGGGGGCAAGCGUUGUCCGGAUUUAUUGGGCGUGAAGCGCUCGCAGGUGGUUCGUUGCGUCGUGCGUGAAAGACCCCGGCUCAACUGGGGAGGGUCGUGCGAUACGGGCGAACUGGAGGCCAGUAGGGGGAUGCGGAAUUCCGGGUGGAGCGGUGAAAUGCGUAGAGAUCCGGAGGAACACCGACGGCGCAGGCAGCGUCCUGGCCGCUUGCUGACACUGAGGCACGAAAGCUGGGGGGAGCAAACAGG